GCUUAAAAUAUUUCCCAAGAGGAAACUUACGACCAAUAUUUAUUAUUAUUUUUUAAAAGUGUGAGGAGACUGUUUUUUGCAUAUUUUUAUCUGCCUUAAUGCCCAACUAUCUAUCUAUGAGAGAUCUCAAACUCCUUUCAAACAAUGUCGUCUUUUUCAAAAGUAGGCAACACUGCAGCCUGCAGAAUGAACGGCAUCAGAAACAAAAUUCCAAACGAAAUCAGCUUAAAUUUCAGCUUUCAAGUGGACUCCUCCACUCAAUUUUGUGCUCAGUCAGCGACUCGCUGCCUCCGAUGUUCGGAUGGUGCAAUCAACAAGACAACCGCAGCGCGUGUCCUGGCAUGCGUGGGGUAAGGGCAGGCGUUCUGACUGGUGGUGCACGGUCGAAGGUGGGGAAAGGGGAUUUGUGAGACCAGCUGCGGCCGCUCAUAGAUGACUCUUGAGUCUGAGGCCACUCAGCACCAGCAGCAGCACCAGCAGCAGCACCAGCAGCAGCAGCAGCAGCAGCGACUGCAGCUGCAACGUGGAACGUAGUCGCCGGUCUCGUCGUCGACUUAGUUAGCCACUUUUCCUUUAUAUAAAAUGCGCCUUUUGUGCCUCGAGUGCCCCGGCUGCCGCGCCGCCCCUUCCUCACUUUCAUAAGAAAAAUACAGUUUGCUUCAAGUUUA